GCCAGGUGUGGUGGUGGGCGCCUGUAAUCCCAGCUACUCGGGAGGCUGAGGCAGGAGAAUCGCUUGAACCCAGGAGGUAGAGGUUGCAGUGAGCCAAGAUCAUGCCACUACACUCCAGCCUGGGUGACAGAGCGAGAUCCUGCCUUUA
rnacentral:SRP_RNA from 1 species